CACGUAGGGUGCGAGCGUUGUCCGGAAUUAUUGGGCGUAAAGAGCUCGUAGGCGGUGUGUCGCGUCGGCCGUGAAAACUUGCAGCUUAACUGUGGGCGUGCGGUCGAUACGGGCAUCACUGGAGUUCGGCAGGGGAGACUGGAAUUCAUGGUGUAGCAGUGAAAUGCGUAGAGAUCAUGAGGAAGACCAGUGGCGAAGGCGGGUCUCUGGACAGUUCCUGACACUGAGGCACGAAGGCCAGGGGAGCAAACGGG
rnacentral:rRNA from 1 species